AGUGAACGCUGGCGGUAGGCCUAACACAUGCAAGUCGAACGGCAGCACAGUAAGAGCUUGCUCUUAUGGGUGGCGAGUGGCGGACGGGUGAGGAAUACAUCGGAAUCUACUUUUUCGUGGGGGAUAACGUAGGGAAACUUACGCUAAUACCGCAUACGACCUACGGGUGAAAGCAGGGGAUCUUCGGACCUUGCGCGAUUGAAUGAGCCGAUGUCGGAUUAGCUAGUUGGCGGGGUAAAGGCCCACCAAGGCGACGAUCCGUAGCUGGUCUGAGAGGAUGAUCAGCCACACUGGAACUGAGACACGGUCCAGACUCCUACGGGAGGCAGCAGUGGGGAAUAUUGGACAAUGGGCGCAAGCCUGAUCCAGCUAUACCGCGUGGGUGAAGAAGGCCUUCGGGUUGUAAAGCCCUUUUGUUGGGAAAGAAAAGCAGCAGGUUAAUACCCCGCUGUUCUGACGGUACCCAAAGAAUAAGCACCGGCUAACUUCGUG
rnacentral:rRNA from 1 species